rnacentral:rRNA from 1 species
GACGAACGCUGGCGGCGUGCUUAACACAUGCAAGUCGAACGGUAAGGCCCUGUUUUUGUGGGGUGCUCGGGUGGCGAACGGGUGAGUAACACGUGAGUAACCUGCCCUUGCCUUUGGUAUAACUUCAGGAAACUGGGGCUAAUACCGGAUAGGAGCUCCUGCUGCUUGGUGGGGGUUGGUAAGUUUCGGCGGUUGGAGAUGGACUUGCGGCUUAUCAGCGUGUUGGUGGGGUAGUGGCUUACCAAGGCUUGGACGGGUAGCCGGCCUGAGAGGGUGACCGGCCACAUUGGGACUGAGAUACGGCCCAGACGCCUACGGGAGGGAGCAGUGGGGAAUAGUGCACUAUGGGCGGAAGCCGGAUGCAGCAACGCCGCGUGCGGGAUGACGGCCUUCGGGUUGUAAACCGCUUUCGCCUGGGACGAAGCGGGAGUGACGGUAAUGGGUAAAGAAGCACCGGCUAACUACGUG